GCCUGGUAGGCGGGGGAGUAACUAUUGGAAACGAUAGCUAAUACCGCAUAAGAGUAGAUGUUGCAUGACAUUUGCUUAAAAGGUGCAAUUGCAUCACUACCAGAUGGACCAGCGUUGUAUUAGCUAGUUGGUGAGGUAACGGCUCACCAAGGCAACGAUACAUAGCCGACCUGAGAGGGUGAUCGGCCACACUGGGACUGAGACACGGCCCAG
rnacentral:rRNA from 1 species